rnacentral:rRNA from 1 species
CCGCACGGGUGAGUAACGCGUAUGCAACUUGCCUAUCAGAGGGGGAUAACCCGGCGAAAGCCGGACUAAUACCGCAUGAAGCAGGGGCCCCGCAUGGGGAUAUUUGCUAAAGAUUCAUCGCUGAUAGAUAGGCAUGCGUUCCAUUAGGCAGUUGGCGGGGUAACGGCCCACCAAACCGACGAUGGAUAGGGGUUCUGAGAGGAAGGUCCCCCACAUUGGUACUGAGACACGGACCAA